AUUGAACGCUGGCGGCAUGCCUUACACAUGCAAGUCGAACGGCAGCGGGGACUUCGGUCCGCCGGCGAGUGGCGAACGGGUGAGUAAUGUAUCGGAACGUACCAUUGAGUGGGGGAUAACUAUCCGAAAGGAUAGCUAAUACCGCAUAUUCUCUCCGGAGGAAAGCAGGGGACCGCAAGGCCUUGCGCUCAUUGAGCGGCCGAUAUCAGAUUAGCUAGUUGGUGGGGUAAAAGCUCACCAAGGCGACGAUCUGUAGCGGGUCUGAGAGGAUGAUCAGCCACACUGGAACUGAGACACGGUCCAGACUCCUACGGGAGGCAGCAGUGGGGAAUUUUGGACAAUGGGGGCAACCCUGAUCCAGCCAUGCCGCGUGAGUGAAGAAGGCCUUCGGGUUGUAAAGCUCUUUCGGCCGGGAAAAAAUCGCAUGGGCUAAUAUCCUGUGUGGACGAUGGUACCGGAAUAAGAAGCACCGGCUAACUACGUGCCAGCAGCCGCCGCCG
rnacentral:rRNA from 1 species